UAUGCCAUUGUCUCCCAUGAGGAUAUUUAUUGUUAAAAUUUCUUUAUAAGUGUCAAAUGAACACUUGUAUGGAGUCAUGUGCUUGGUGGCACCAGAAUCAAUGAUUUACUUGGACAUGGCAGCCAUGGAAGUGCCUUCACUUGCCAUGAAUGCAUAAUCAUCACCUCCAUAUUCAUCACGAGCAUUGUUUGCACUUUCUCUAUCUCCUUUCUUAGCCUUGUAGCCAUUUCGAGCAAAGUGACGUGGUUUUCCACAAAUGAAGCAAGUUCUCACUACAACACCAAAGAUACUAUCAAGGUCUUUGUAUAAGGUCUUAAUCAAUCAAUCCUAGGAAUUAAGAACCUUCAAACUGAUGUUAGAGAUCUAUAAGGUCCAAAUCAAAACCUCCACAAGUCAAAACACAAGAUUAUAUCAUAUAAUCUCUAACAUCAAGAAAUACCAUAAGAUCUAUUCCACACAAGAACAACAAUCAACAAAUGACCUCAACUUACUUGAAUAGUACAACAAAGUGUGUGUGGGCCCAUAAUCUAUUGAAGAAUCACAAUAAGCAAGAUACAAGUAAGUAAAAAUCAAUAAAGUUAGACAUAAGAGAAGUGUGGAAUGAGAUGCCUCUCACUUCCAACACCCUUUAUUUAUAGGUAGAAGUUAUAUCCAUUUUGGCUAACGUUCAUCUUACUUUCAUCCAACUAAAUCCU
rnacentral:lncRNA from 1 species